GACGAACGCUGGCGGCGUGCUUAACACAUGCAAGUCGAACGGAAAGGCCCUGCUUUUGUGGGGUGCUCGAGUGGCGAACGGGUGAGUAACACGUGAGUAACCUGCCCUUGACUUUGGGAUAACUUCAGGAAACUGGGGCUAAUACCGGAUAGGAGCUCCUGCUGCAUGGUGGGGGUUGGAAAGUUUCGGCGGUUGGGGAUGGACUCGCGGCUUAUCAGCUUGUUGGUGGGGUAGUGGCUUACCAAGGCUUUGACGGGUAGCCGGCCUGGGAGGGUGACCGGCCACAUUGGGAAUGGGAUACGGCCCAGACUCCUACGGGGGGCAGCAGUGGGGAAUAUUGCACAAUGGGCGGAAGCCUGAUGCAGCAACGCCGCGUGCGGGAUGAAGGCCUUCGGGUUGUAAACCGCUUUCGCCUGUGACGAAGCGUGAGUGACGGUAAUGGGUAAAGAAGCACCGGCUAACUACGUG
rnacentral:rRNA from 1 species